AAACAAGUCUUGUGUUAUUGCAACGCUGGGAAUUAUUUUCAUUCCCAGCCAUAAUGAAUCUCAAACAGUCCCUCGAGAUAAGCACCCACCUUGCUUUCCUGUGAACUGCUGCCAAUAACAGAGGUGUCAAGUGAACUAGAGAAAAAGUCAUCCAAAGUACAAA